rnacentral:ncRNA from 1 species
GAACAGUGGAUGAGUGUCCGCACCGCCACGGCCCUCAGACGUCAGCCGAGGCCAUAGUACUCCGACACGCCGUUGGGGAAAGGGC